rnacentral:lncRNA from 1 species
AUAAAUUGCUAUAGAAAGUGGGGCUAGAUCGAGAGUUCUGACCUUUUCGUGGGUUGGGUGAUCUUCAAACUCUUGUUUUUCUAGCGAAAGAACGCCCUUCUGAGCGAUGAUCUCCUACAAGCGAGUAUAGUAAGGUUGACUUCAAUUGAGACAGAAAUGUCACUGGUCAGCUCCUUAGCGUGACAAUUAACACCACUUUCUUAUUACCUAAUAGAUUAGAUAAGGGAAGAAGGCAGGCCAAAGCUUAUAGA